rnacentral:rRNA from 1 species
GUGUCAGCAGCCGCGGUAAUACGGAGGGUGCAAGCGUUAUUCGGAUUUACUGGGCGUAAAGGGCGCGUAGGCGGUUGGACAAGUCAGGUGUGAAAUCCCGGGGCUUAACUCCGGAAGUGCAUCUGAAACUGUUCGGCUUGAGUAUGGUAGAGGGAAGUGGAAUUCCUGGUGUAGCGGUGAAAUGCGUAGAUAUCAGGAGGAACACCGGUGGCGAAGGCGACUUCCUGGACCAAAACUGACGCUGAGGCGCGAAGGUGUGGGGAGCAAACAGGAUUAGAUACCCCAGUAGUCC